AAGGGCAUCGGAAGUAACCAGUAGAGUGAGACUCGGACCGCAGCUGUUGUCAUCAAAUGAUGGGGGAGAACAGAUAGAGAGGGGGCAAGAGCAAGAGGCGCGAGGGCUUUUUAGGGCGAACAUCUUUGCUGUCGAGAGCUGAAACGUCUUUGCUUUUGGGGCCACUCAAACUUUUGGAGAGACAUCACUCUGACAUCGGUUGAAAAAAAUAUUUUCCCAAUCAGCCGUGUGUCACUGGAGUGCUUCCCUGGGACAGCCCUUGUUCACCGAGUGUUUUUUUGGAGACAAGCGAAACAACAAAGACCAUUCACCACAUUUUUGGCGUCACGAACAGGAUUCGUGUUCCCCCGGGGAAUUCCCGCCCGCUUCCUGAUCGAGAGUCCAGCGGCCGGCCAGCGGCUGUCAUUGAGAGUGUGGGGUGAACGGUCAAUUUUCAGGAGUUUGGGGAUGACGGUUCUCGAUGAGUGAAAGGUCCGACAAACUGACUGCAAGGCAUAUAAUGAUGCGGUAGGAUAUUUUGCCGGUUCCUUUUUGAAUGCCUAGUGACACAUUGGGGGAAUGUGUCAGAAGGGGGAGGAGUUACAUUUAAAUGAGUAAGUAGAUAUAAAAGCUGUUUGUGACAUUCAAUGUUUUAUCGGAUUCAAUUAAUUUUGAGGCUUUAACAGGACGUGCCAGAAUUCAACAGGCAGUGAUGGAAGGAGCAGAAGAAGCAUCUCGAAAGGAAAGGAGUUAAUGGGAGACAACAAUCUGGAAUGGAUGCAAAGCGUGGUAACAACCUAGCGACAGUAACGGUUAAGGUGUUUCAAAUGGUGACAAACCAUACACCUAAUAGGGAUUAGACUGCAGCGCAAUAGACAACAAAUGUUUGGAAGGUAAUUAAAUAAAAUAGGAAACUGGACCAGAAACAAGAAAUAAGGAGAAGUGACAUACCGUUUUUUUCCAUGUAUAAUGCGCAAAAUUUAACUAAUUUAUUAUCCUAAAAUCUGGGGUGCGCAUUAUACAUGGGUACAAUUUUUUUUUUUUUUUAAGAAAAUCAUGGUACAACAAUUUUUGAAGAAGAUCUUGUCACGGAUGGAGUGUGGAAAGGAGCAGGGCGACCAAGUGCAGCUUGGACCAUGGUUCAUUGGAGGAACUCAAAACACAGACUUGGUAAACUAACAUAACUCUCUAACAAAACCAACAACAGGCCUGACCGACAAAGACGUGGAACAAAAAGACAGGGUGACAUUACCAAAGACGGGAACAGAAACCUGUGUUAUUGUCAAAUAUUGUUUGUUUUUUAAUCUCCAUCGCGGACUGGACGUCAUACGGAGGCAGUAUCACUGCGCAUGCGCACUAUGGAUCCGAUGCGAAUAGUCCUCUUCUCUUCUUGACUGACAAUGAAUGUGAUAGUUUAAUACAAUCAGCAAAUAAAAUGCGUAUUACAGGUAAUAUUUUAUUUCACAACAGUUUGCCUUGUUCCUUUCAUCUCUGCUGUUCACUUCAAACCAGAGGCGUAGCCAGGAAUUUUUCCAGUAGGGGCGCGCGCCCACAGGAAAAAAAAUCGAACAUCACCCACGCCGUUCGCUGAUCGCUAAAACAACAUCCGGGUCCGGGAGGCAAACUGUGAAUGGAUAACAUCGCGCACAUAGAAUAGCGCAAGCACAUUCGCGCAAGACCGAAAAAAAAAAAAACGGCAUUAAAAUGAAGAAUCGAAAAAGCUCGAUUUUAUUCAACCGGGGCGCAGGAAGUCCUAACCAGGGCGCCGCCCCGGCUCGCCCCUGCUUGGCUACGGCUAACAGUUUUGUGAUGGCUUUGUCUUUAUUAAACGUAUAAACGAAUACAAUAAACAGAUACUUUCAAGUUUUAAUCAUUAAUUACACCAUUAUAGCUCAGACAUUUAUCUAAACACAAAUAAUUAGUGACGACCCCUUAUUUGGAAAGCGAAAAACCCAUGUCGUACGGCGUCAGCACUAUGUUGUUUUCAAUAAAAACAUGAAGAACUCA